GUCGCUCCCAUACCAAAGAGAUUUAACAGGUGCAAUUUUUUUUUUUUUUUUUUUUGCAGUGAUCCAACAUCUGCAAAGGGGAUGUAUAUCUGUAUGGGGUUGUGCUUCAAAAUACUUGAACUAAGUCAGAUAUGGUGCUUCAUAGCCGUCAGGUGAAUUUUUUUUCUUCAGGUAUAUAUCAAUUAUAAGCAAUCUUUUGGGUUAUUCUACAUAUAUGCCCUAAAAAUGUAAAAGCUAUUGAUUAUGAUUCGCAAUAUCCCCCAUUGGACUCAAUUUAUAUACGUCGAUAAUAUUCUCAUUUUUAGUAGAACUUUAAUUCACAUUUCGAUUCUUCAACCCACUUGAUCCUAUUAUUAUAUUCCCACUUCUUUGAUAUCUUCACUCAACACCAGUCGUCAAAUCAGAAUCAGUCCCUGUAUUGUAUCUCUCUAUUAAUUGCUCCGGUGCCGGCUCCGUUUGAGGUCUGGUCUGGAGUGAGAUGAGAGUGUGAGUUGCUUUCAUUAUAAAGUAUAAACACACUCUCUUUUUGUAUUUGACAAUAGGAAAGCCCACAGAAAGUCGAUUUUUUGUAUUUUCUGUUAGGGUUUGAUCAAUUUUAAUCUUUUAAAUUCAGAAUUCUCUCUACUCCUCUUUUUGUGUUUGUUUGUGUUUGUCUGUCUAUAUAGAGAUAAUCAUGCAGAGGAGAAGAAGAAUACAAAACAAGCUGAGAGGAGAGAGUGAGAGAGAUUUGAAGGUUUUGUUGUUCAUAGAGGAUGAAGGUGUUGUUUGUCUUCAUUUGCUAAUUUCUUGCUAUUGCUUUGGUCUCUUUCUUUACAAACCCCCCAUAUGUAAGAAUCAGUGCCACAUGGUAAAAUGCUCUUGCCACGAUUUGAGCUAUCUCACUAUUAAACUACUCACUAUAUCAUCGUUUUGAUUCUAAUUGAUGGUUCCUACGAAACUCAUGGGUUCUGACAAGGAUUUGAAGGUCUUGGAGAACAGUGCAACCGUGUUCAAUUUGGCGUUGGUGGUUUUAUCUCUUCUGAUUGUAUUGGUGAGGAAGAUUGCGGUUUAUACUUGGCAAAAUAGAGUUACAAAGGAGGAAGCUGAUGAAGUUAGGAGUAGGGUUUCUGCAGUAGAAACUCAAUUUCUCAAUGUUGAAAUCGGUAAAGUUUAUAAAGCAUCAGUUUGUUGUUGCUUUUAUGUUAUCCUUCUACAGGUUGUGGUUUUAUGUUACGAUGGUGUUUGUUUAAUUACAAAAUCUGCACAAGGGGAAAAGGGGAAAAGGGUGUGAGCUUGGAACCUCUGUUAUUGCCCGCAUCAUAGUUUUUCGCUUGGUUUGUUUUGAGUUUUUCAACACUUAGUUGUUAGAAUUUUAGAACUCAAUGCGUCCUAUUUCCUGAAAUCUGGAGGCUAUUUUGUUAUCAAUCAAGGCAAACUGCAUAGAUUCUACUAUUCCGGUAGAGGCUGUAUUUGCUUCUGAAAUGAAGAAGCUGCAAGCAGAGCAAUUUAAACCAAUGGAUCAAGUCACCCUUAAACCCUCACAUUUCUUUUAAAAGUAUUCUAUUGGUUUUACUAAAAUUUGGUAGUUAUGGGGAAAAUUGUUAGUCACUAAAUAAAUCAUAGCAUGAAAAUAUAUUUAACAGUAUAAGAUUACAAUUUUCAUAAUAUUUAUUUUAUUAACCUUUGUAUACCGUGUAGGAAAUUUAUGAUUUAUGAUUAUCCUUUUUCUUAUUUAAAAAAAGAUAAUCAUAAAUACUUCUUUAUUCUUAGAGUAUUCACUUUAUUUUGCAAAUAGUAAAUAUAUAGUCCCAUCUUAGAUGAGAAAUCAUGCAAGGAGUAGAAAUGAUUCUACAAAACAGAUACCUGGAGAACCUAU